rnacentral:lncRNA from 1 species
UGCCAUAACAUCCUGUGCAUCAUAAUACUCUGUCAAAUCCCCUACUCAUCUCAGGGAAUACCAAGGUAGAAAUAAACUCAUAUACACGCAUUUUAUGGGUCAUUCAUGAGAACUUAUUUUGACUAGGGCAUCACAUGCUACCGGAGUGCUUGUCCUCAUCGAACUAAAUUUGGAAAAAAAAUCAUGACUGAAUGAAAUUUCACCCAAAGCUGGAGCCAUCGAUGAGGAUAGCUUGAGAGACAGUUCCACGCAACCAAAAAAGGAUUUUGGAGUGAAUGCCGGCCUAGAAACCCAACUGAAUCCUCUCUUUCUAUCAUGUAAUAUCUACCUUGUUCUUAGUAAUACUAUUCAUCUUUCUUAAAAAGUAAACCAAGAAAUUCUCUCAAGAUUGUUCCAACAUGAAGAGCCAUGUAAAUAAAAGGUCAAAAAAUUUAACCCCCGCCCCCCGCCCAUUUUCAGGUGCUAGCCAGCAGUUGUUGGAACAAGACACAAAUGUGAACACAGAAAGCUCUGAAGAGAAACAAUUAUGAGAUACAAAUAAAAUAGCAAAUAAAGUUGUUUAUGAUUGAAUCAAACUUCACAAGGCCUUCUCGUACAAACUUGCUGCCAGAAAUCUGAGGAACCCAUCACUGGCUAGUCUCCUUUAGCAUUCAGCUAUCGCAUUUUUAAUCUGCAGGAGUAACAGCAACCAACAACACGUCAAAAUCAAUAUACCAUAUUAUACAAAAGAAUUGCAAUUCUGUCGAUCGUUAUCUACCAUCAACAAAACAGCUAAAAUGAAGAGACAUGGACAAGCUGGAAUGUGAUUUUUCGAAAAAAGGACACACCAAUUAAA